UGGGGAAGGAUAUGUCUGGAGAUCCACUCUGCUGGAGUUUGGACUUUUGAGAUCAAAAACUGACCAAAAUGUAGCUGCCUCUUCAGUGCUUCAGUGAACCCAGAAAGCCUCACCAGAAUGGACUGUUAUAUGAGAAGUGGCUGAGAGAAGUGGCUUUUCAGUCUUGGGACAAGAGACAGUCAGGACAAGAGAAGGUUCAGAAGAGACUGACAUCAGCAUGCAUAAAUAUCCUACAAGAGGAUAUAAAAAAGACAGAGCCAAAUUUUUCUCAGUGGUGUCUAGUGAAAAACAAUGCACACAAACUGGAAAAAUAAUAAUAAUAAUAAACGAUUUUAAACAAAA